rnacentral:misc_RNA from 1 species
GCCUGCUCCAAGAUAAGCAGUGUGAAAUACCACCCAUCUAAACAAGAGCCAUAUUUAAAAAAUGCCAAGAACAUCCUCUCACAAUUUAAUCACUGAUGGAACAGUCUAUCAGUAACAACAGGUUUACAGGGCAAGUUCCUUAUGGAGAUCAUAGAAUCUCCAUCCAAACUUACAAUGCUAAGUACAUCACUAUCAGCCAUUGAAAUCCCCAUAAACAUAAAAAAUUCUUGCUCAAAUUUCAUAAUGCUAAGCACAUUACCAUGCACAUUUCAGAUUUUAAAAUCAAUGAGAUUUUAAAAUUUUACUCAAGGCAAAAGUAAGGUCACAAUUUUGGGAGCAAUUCAACAAAUAACAGUCAUUCACAUACUCUUUUACAAUGUUUUUGAAUGGAUGAGCAGACAAACAAUAAGAGUGAAUGAUACAAAUGCAAUGAUACCCGCAGCUACAUUCUCUCAUGUGAAAGUGGAUAGACAUAAUUAUUAUACAGAUACAUAACAAGACAAAAUUAAAGCCACCAAUGAAUUAUAUUUUCAGGACAAAAAAAACAACUAUUAUUAAUGAGAUGCAUACACUCUUUUAAUCAACACAAUUGCUCUUCUUCACAUCUUUUUU